CCGAAUUUGAAGCGUACACGUAACGAAAUAAUCUUUCCCUUGAAAAUUUCCAUUCGUAUGACGUCGUGUUUUGCCAUGACGUAAAUUCGCCAAAUCCUUCAUGAAAUUUCGCGGAAUUUUAUUAAAUUUAAUUUUUGUACAUUUUCGAAGCUUUAGUGCAAUAAAUUUAUUUCUUUUUUUGUUAUAUAUGCACUAGAAUAGUCACAACUGUUAUGCAAUUGUUUUUUAAUCUCAAUUUGCUGAAAAUCCCGGGAUCACUGCAAGCUUGUGUAUCGCGCA
rnacentral:lncRNA from 1 species